rnacentral:rRNA from 1 species
UGGGGAAUAUUGCACAAUGGGCGCAAGCCUGAUGCAGCAAUGCCGCGUGUGUGAAGAAGGCCUUCGGGUUGUAAAGCACUUUCAGCGAGGAGGAAGGGUUCAGUGUUAAUAGCACUGUUCAUUGACGUUACUCGCAGAAGAAGCACCGGCUAACUCCGUGCCAGCAGCCGCGGUAAUACGGAGGGUGCAAGCGUUAAUCGGAAUUACUGGGCGUAAAGCGCACGCAGGCGGUUUGUUAAGUCAGAUGUGAAAUCCCCGCGCUUAACGUGGGAACUGCAUUUGAAACUGGCAAGCUAGAGUCUUGUAGAGGGGGGUAGAAUUCCAGGUGUAGCGGUGAAAUGCGUAGAGAUCUGGAGGAAUACCGGUGGCGAAGGCGGCCCCCUGGACAAAGACUGACGCUCAGGUGCGAAAGCGUGGGGAGCAAACA